GAGGGCAAGAUGACCUGGAGGGGAAUGGGCAUGGUCUAGCAAGUGGGAGGCUGUGCUAUAUAAAUGUAUGACCACCCCAAUCAUGGAAAUGCAGAUCUCUGCAAGACCCACUGGUUGGGAACUCAUCCAAAAUAGUUUGCCCUGGAGCACUGCAGAGAAAUCUGUGUAGAGACUGGAAGUGGGAAGUAGAUGGAAUACAACUUUGGAACAAAGUAUGGUUUUUAUAACUGGAAUAAUCAUGUACUGUAGAUCCACUUCGGUGUGAAACGGCUGCAUCUGCAUAAGGUUUUCCCGUGGUGGAAGCAUGCCCCAUAGAAUGCUGUUACAGAUGCAACGGGAAUCAUUUUGGCCACUGCUGUCUGUAAUCAGGCCAAGGCUGCAGCUGCUGCCACCUCCUGGGAGAAGAUAGACCUCAGCUUCAUAUCCGAGUCUGGUCUCAGAGUUCACCUAUGACUUGGGCAAAGAACCUUUUGGCUGCAUGAAGGCACAGCAGCCCUCUCCUCUGGAAGAUGUAGCAACAAGGCACCACUUCUGGAAGCAGAAAGUCUGGGCCCUCACUGACACUGAACCUGCUCACACCUAGAUGUUGACUGUUAACCUCUAGAACUGUGAGAAAUAAAUUUACGUUCUUUAUAAAUUA